rnacentral:misc_RNA from 1 species
GAGUUGUAGGCUUCUGUCUACCAUCUCUUACCCAUGUCUUUUGCGUACUACACGUUUCCUCGGCAGGUCCGCCUGCCGCUAGGACAAAAUUAAACCAUUUGCAGUUGCAGUCAGCGUCUGAAAAACUUAAUAAUUACAACUUUCAACAACGGAUCUCUUGGUUCUGGCAUCGAUGAAGAACGCAGCGAAAUGCGAUAAGUAGUGUGAAUUGCAGAAUUCAGUGAAUCAUCGAAUCUUUGAACGCACAUUGCGCCCCUUGGUAUUCCAUGGGGCAUGCCUGUUCGAGCGUCAUUUGUACCUUCAAGCUCUGCUUGGUGUUGGGUGUUUGUCCCGCCUUUGCGCGUGGACUCGCCUUAAAGCAAUUGGCAGCCGGCGUAUAGAUUUCGGAGCGCAGCACAAAACGCGCUUUGUUAGCAAUACGGUGGCGUCCAGUAAGACUUUUUUUAACUCUUGACCUCGGAUCAGGUAGGGAUACCCGCUGAACUUAAGCAUAUCAAUAA